GCCAGGAAGCUUCGAGCAGAAAUGACACCAUCUCUUUCAUAUUUUCAAAGGGGCAUCAUACUUUACCAUUGUGGUGUGAAUGAAAGUAUCUGAAAAAGGCGAUUACUUAAGAAGAUCCCUAUUUCAGAGGCGUUAAAAUGUGAAAAUGUCUUAGAAUCAAAAUACGUUAUUUUGCUUCAAACGCUCAUCUCCCUCUCCUAAAAGCCCUUGGAAGUGAUGAUUUGGCUGAUUGGCGCUUCUGCUCUGGCUGAGAACUACUAGAGAAGUCCUGUACUGUUCUCUGACCUCACUCUCACUUACAGAAAGAAGUGCCUGACAAUUUGCCUACUAAAUGUUAUGUAUUACCAUCACCACCACCACCACUAUGACCACCACC